CCUACGGGAGGCAGCAGUGAGGAAUAUUGGUCAAUGGACGAGAGUCUGAACCAGCCAAGUAGCGUGAAUGAUGCCUUCCCUAUGGUUUGUAAACUUCUUUUAUAUGGGAAUAAACUGUUCCACGUGUGGGAUUUUGUAUGUACCAUAUGAAUAAGGAUCGGCUAACUCCGUGCCAGCAGCCGCGGUAAUACGGAGGAUCCGAGCGUUCUCCGGAUUUAGUGGGUUUAAAGGGAGCGUAGGUGGAUUGUUAAGUCAGUUGUGAAAGUUUGCGGCUCAACCGUAGAAUUGCAGUUGAAACUGGCAGUCUUGAGUACAGUAGAGGUGGGUGGAAUUCGUGGUGUAGCGGUGAAAUGCUUAGAUAUCACGAAGAACUCCGAUUGCGAAGGCAGUUCACUGGACUGCAACGGACACGGAGGCUCGAAAGUGUGGGUAUCAAACAGGAUUAGAUACCCCAGUAGUC
rnacentral:rRNA from 1 species